CACUAAAAGAUGUAGGUGGUAAAGAGUAGCUCAAAAUUGAAAGGAAGUAUUAUUUUUAUACAAACUUGUCCUAAAUGAAGUAAUGGCAUAAUUUUUCUUCUGCUAGGUUUUGUGAAAAUUUUGCUAAAGACUUGACUGGCUAAAAUAAGGUCUGUUAUUAGUCAUGUGUAGCUGGAAAAUGAGAAAAUAAGGCACUGGAAGACAUAUUCUAAUGAAUCUAAACCAGUGUAAGUUCUCAAACACACCCGUCCCAUUUUUACUUUUUAUUCAAUGUUACUCUUUCCACAGAAGAGUUUGCAAAAUUAAGCACCCAGAUGUUUCUUGUCUCCUGAAGAUUGGAGUCUUGCACCUCUCUUGGAGUUUGCUCUUUCUGCAAUGUAAAGUCAAGCCAUUGAAUUUGAGAGGUGUUAGUGAGGAGGUAAAAGGUAUUCUGCAUCACUCCUGUGGAGAAUUCUCAGAAAUUCUCUCAUCUGUUCAAGAUAUGCUUUCUCUUAACAGCCUUACUGAAAAAGAAAAAGCAGGACUUUGGUGAGGAUUUGCCAUUUCCUGAUGCAGUACCUCUAUGCGAGGUAGCAUGCAUCCUGCUACAACUUUCACUCCAAGCAGAGCCUGACCCAGGAGUGUUGCA
rnacentral:lncRNA from 1 species